AAUGUCAUUGCUCUAAUUUAAAUAUUUCAUAUUCAGUUCAAAUGUUUAAUAUAUCUGCUAUUCAUAUGUUCAUUUAUUAGUGUGUUAUAUGAUUAGAAUGUUGUCUCGGUUUUAAAAUAAAGCACAGCAAUGAUAUAUCGAAAUCGCAAUUCUUGACUAGAGAAUAUUAUGUUUAAGUCAUUAUUUAUUCAUAGAGAUUCAUUUAAAAAAAUUUAACAUGAAAAGAUGUGUUUCUAACUGAGGUGAACAAGCUGUGCAUUUAUAAUAUUUUUAUUAAGCCGAAUGUUGAAGAUAUCAAUAUGUUUUGUGCAUUUAUUGUAUACUCUAUUGUAACUUUCGAUCCUGAGCAAGAUUAAAGGCUCUGAUAAACUUCAAACAAAGUUCUUUUUCGGGCUUUGUUUUGGGGCAAAACAAAAGUUAAAAAAGGCUGAGCGACGGUAUACUGUUAACUAACUUUUCAACACCCGGCACUGCUGGAGGCCGGUGUAGAUUAGUGUAAAUGUGUCACGAUGCUUGCACCUAUCCCCUAAACACAACAACGAUGAAAUUAUGAAGUGUAGCCAAUCUAGGUGUAAGACUGGUACCAAUAGUCAGAAUAUUAUAAACAAAAGAAUAAUGAUUAGCAGUAGU